rnacentral:rRNA from 1 species
UACGUAGGGUGCAAGCGUUGUCCGGAAUUAUUGGGCGUAAAGAGCUCGUAGGCGGUUCGUCGCGUCGGCUGUGAAAACCCGGAGCUCAACUCCGGGCCUGCAGUCGAUACGGGCGGACUUGAGUGUUGCAGGGGAGACUGGAAUUCCUGGUGUAGCGGUGAAAUGCGCAGAUAUCAGGAGGAACACCGAUGGCGAAGGCAGGUCUCUGGGCCGAUACUGACGCUGAGGAGCGAAAGCGUGGGGAGCGAACAGG